AGAUGAGACCCAAGUCCAGGGUGCAGCCUGGAAGUCUGAUUCCAGAGGAACAAAGAGACAAAUACCAACGUGGAUUCUGGCAGAGGGGAACAAUGCAGGUGCCCAGUGAGUAAAACUGGGGCACAAGAGGAAGGUUUAAUUACCGGAAAAAGAUAGCAGAUAUACUGCCCCAUGGUUCAGAGACACAGAUACAGACCCACUUCAUGGCAGGAUGCUUACCUUGGAUGCUUACAUUUGGUGUCAAGAUGAAGGGGGGGCCUUUCCUGGAUGUCACUGGGAUGCCACAGCAGGCCUGUAGAAGUCACAUUGCAGGAAAGACGUUGGGCUUCCCAGGAGGAAAAGGGAAAGGGCUGGGGAUGAAAGAUCAAGCUCCCAGACCAUGAGGUUGAGACCUCUGAAAGCCGCCCUUUUGGAAACAAUGUCCCCAGAAGACAGAAAACUAAGGUAGAGGAAAUUCAAAAGUUGCAUGCUUUAUUUCAAGACCGAAAGUGAAGACUGCCACACAGGGAUGUGUCACGCAAAUGCCCCCAGCCCAGCCUCCCAGGAACUGCCAACCUGCUUCUGAGCAGCUGUGAUAAUAUUCAGUGCAGACUGUCAACUGCUGGCUGAGGGCAUUUUGCUUGAAGAGGGUGUCCUUUUUGGGGAUGGGAAGAGAACAGUGUCUAAGCAAAACAUUUGAAGAGCAGUGAUGCAGAGCCUCUGCCUCAGAGUACAGCCACAGUGGGGCAGUGAUAGGGACAGCCACCAGAAGCCUCCAGACCCAUUCACAACCAACCAGGAAGGGGUUGGGACUGAGGAUGACAACCCCCCGCAUCAGCAUGUGUGCACAUAAGAGGAGAGGACACCGGCCCCCAGUGGAAACUGCGGAGAUUAGCAUCCUAGUACCAACAGCUUUUUUAUGAUAAUCUUGGCUUCCAAUUGUCCCUCCUUUGGAGUGUGCGUGUGUUGAGGAGAAAGGGGUAGAUAUAGUUUGCUAAUGAAUUUCACAUAUUUCUGUAUAUGUGAAAUGUGAAAUCGAAUAUAAAGAAUGCAUGAUUCUUUGAAAAUUAUUUAAGAAUUCAUAUAUGAGAAUUAUGAAAAUUCAGAGCCUUCACUCUUCACUAGGCAAGAAAAAUUACAUCAGCUGGGCAUGGUGGCUCGAGACUGUACUCUCAGAUACUCAGGAGGCUGAGGCAGAAGAAUCGCUUGAGCCCAAGAAUUCAAGACCAGCCUGGGCAACAUAGUGAGACCCUGUCUCUAAAAAAAUAAUAAUAACAAAUAAAAA
rnacentral:lncRNA from 1 species